rnacentral:rRNA from 1 species
CGUCAAAUCAUCAUGCCCCUUAUGACCUGGGCUACACACGUGCUACAAUGGACGAUACAAAGGGCUGCAAACCCGCGAGGGGGAGCCAAUCCCAUAAAAUCGUUCUCAGUUCGGAUUGUAGGCUGCAACUCGCCUACAUGAAGCCGGAAUCGCUAGUAAUCGUGGAUCAGCAUGCCACGGUGAAUACGUUCCCGGGCCUU